AGUCAUAUGCUUGUCUCAAAGACUAAGCCAUGCAUGUCUUAGUACACGCCUUAUACGGUGAAACCGCAAAUAGCUCAUUAAAUCAGAUAUGAUCUACAGGAUCAUAAACUUGUCGGAUAACUGUAGUAAUUCUAGAGCUAAUACGUCUUUUUAUGUCCCUGACGGUAACGUUGGGGCAGAUUUAUUAGAUCAAAAUCAUUCAUGCUUGUCAUGUGUUUUGAUGACUCUGGAUAACUUAACUACACGCAUAACCUUGUGUUAGCGGCUAAUCCUUCGAGUAUCUGCCCUAUCAACUUUCGAUGGUAGGAUAGUGGCCUACCAUGGUGAUAACGGGUAACGGGGAAUCAGGGUUCGAUUCCGGAGAGGAAGCCUGAGAAACGGCUACCACAUCUAAGGAAGGCAGCAGGCGCGUAAAUUACCCACUCCCAGAUUGGGGAGGUAGUGACGAAAAAUAACAAUGCGGGACUUUAAAAGGCCCCGUAAUUGGAAUGAGCACAAUUUAAAUCCUUUGACGAGGAUCAAUUGGAGGGCAAGCCUAGUGCCAGCAGCCGCGGUAAUUCUAGCUCCAAUAGCGUAUAUUAAUGUUGUUGCAGUUAAAAAGCUCGUAGUUGGAUCAAAGGAUUUGAAACAUCAGUACACUGAACGGUGUUACUGUUGUAUCAGCCUUCAAGAUCGUGCAUGCAUUAAAUGAACUUUAUUGUUUGUUUCUUGUAGCCGAUAAGUUUACUUUGAAAAAAUUAGAGUGCUUAAAGCAAGCAAAUGCUUGUAUAUUGUUGCAUGGAAUAAUAAAAUAGGACUUUGUUCUUAUUUUAUUGGUUUUAUUGAAUGAAGUAAUGAUUAAUAGGGACCGACGGGGGCAUUUGUAUGCCGGCGUUAGAGGUGAAAUUCUUAGACCGCCGGCAGACAAACAACUGCGAAAGCAUUUGCCAAGAAGGUCUUCAUUAAUCAAGAACGAAAGUCAGAGGUUCGAAGACGAUCAGAUACCGUUUUAGUUCUGACCAUAAACUAUGCCAACCGACGAUUCGUGAUGGUUAAUAAUUUUCCACGCGAGCAGUCACCGGGAAACCGUAAGUCUUUCGGUUCCGGGGGAAGUAUGGUUGCAAAGCUGAAACUUAAAGGAAUUGACGGAGAGGCACCACCAGGAGUGGAGCUUGCGGCUUAAUUUGACUCAACACGGGAAAACUCACCCGGCCCGGACUCUGUGAGGAUUGACAGAUUGAAAGCUCUUUCUUGAUUGAGAGGAUGGUGGUGCAUGGCCGUUCUUAGUUGGUGGAGCGAUUUGUCUGGUUAAUUCCGAUAACGAACGAGACUCUAACCUGCUAAUUAGAGUAUCUAUGCUUGGUUGGUAGAUACAUCUAUAACUUCUUAGAGGGACAGGCUGCGUUUAGCAGCACGAGAUUGAGCAAUAACAGGUCUGUGAUGCCCUUAGAUGUCCGGGGCUGCACACGUGCUACACUGGCGAUCACAGAGAGAUGUACCUUGCUUGAGAAAGCUGGGGAAUCUUUUGAAUGGUCGUCGUGACCGGGAUUGGGGCUUGUAAUUAUUCCCCAUGAACGAGGAAUUCCUAGUAAGGACAAGUCAUUAGCUUGUGCUGACUACGUCCCUGCCUCUUGUACACACCGCCCGUCGCUACUACCGAUUGAAUAGUUUAGUGAGGUUAUUGGAUCGGGUUUUGAAAAGUGUUUACACUUUACUAGAUCUGAAAAGAUAAUCGAACUUGAUUAUUUAUAGGAAGUAAAAGUCGUAACAAGGUUUCUC
rnacentral:rRNA from 1 species